GUCUUAGAUUUCACAGAAUUAAUAUUGUUAUUUGGAAUGGUUUAUUUCCUGGAGAAGAAGAAAGAGAUGACAAAUAAAUGGAUGUUUAUCUUUUGUUCAAAAUAAUUCCUGGAAAUAGCUGAAAAUGGAAGCAGCUACCAAAGUCGAUUUAGUCAUUUCUGAAACCAAAGCAAAAUCUAAGAAAUAUGAAAGGAGUAAACCCUGUAGUCAAAGAUCUCAUUCCAGUUUGGCUGAAAAUGGCCGGAAGAUUUAUAACAACGGAUGUUGUUACACCAUCCGUCAGAAUGAAGGAGAUUCUUAUAAAUAUCAAGUAAGACCUGAUCAUGUGACCAAAACUGAUCACAUGACCAAUGAGCCUGGUAGUUCAAGUCAGAAAUACUCAAGGACAAAUAAAAAUAUAUUUCGGUCAGCCAGUGCGCCAACUGGACAAUUUCAGACAAAUGUUCCAGAUUAUUAUUCCUUACCAAUAUUUCAUAAUUCAGGAAAUCAAAUCGAUUCUGUAAGAAAUGGUGAGAAAUAUAAAAGGAGAGUAGAUUACAAGAAAGAACGAACUGUUGAUUUGGUUCCAAGGAAUCAUCAGGGUUUGUUUGAGACGACAAGUGAGGAUUUAAGACAGAAAGAUGGUAAUUAUGAUUCUAACAAAUCUGUAAAAUUAAGUUCUCGUUAUGUAAAUAUCAUUAGUUACAUUCAAAAAAAUGGGGAAAUUCCUCUGGAUUUUAUACGCUUGGAAAGUGAGUUUAAUAAAAGACCAAAGAAGUUGGCCACAGAGGUAAAAAAGAGUUCCAGGUCCCAUUGGCAUUUGGAUGGUUCUUAUGAAGUCAUGGGACAGCAUCCAAAAGAGGAUUAUUUUAAACGUGAGAGGAAAGGAAAACGUGUUGUAGAUUGUUUUAAUAAACCCUCUGAUGAGAACAAUAAAACCGUGCCAUCACCAUUGAAAGAAUUCAAUAGACUUUGUCACACAAAUUCUUCAGAAUGGUCCAUUAGAACUUCUACAAAUAAAACUAAAUUAAGUUUUCCUUACAUAAAUGAUGGUUUGUCUUCAGUUGACGCUGAAAAUGAAUGCCAUGUACCACAAAUGGCAAACGAACCAAUUAAUUUGAAUGGUUCUUCUCAUAGAAAUUCGGUCUGUAGUAAUAAGUUAAACAAUCACGGAAAUAGCCACAGAAUGUUGGGAUAUUGCAGAGAAUAUAGAUAUGAAAAUUCCAUGGAGGAUGUGAAAUAUGCUGGAAUCUCAGCAGUUAUUGGAAUCGACAAAAAUGGACGAAAUUCAGAUUGUAAAAGAGGGGACAAAGAACCAAAUACACGAUUAAGAAAGGACAAUACAUGUUUUGAUUCUGGGAAAAACUCAGGGAAUGAAUAUAUUUUGGUUCAGGACAAGGUAGAACAGAGCAGUGCAAUCGAUCUUUUGAAUAAGUCAACAUUAGACUGGUCGGUCUCUCAAAUUGACGGUGUUGACAAUCAGAGUGACAGCUUUGGAGAUGUGUCACCUUGCGAAGAAUCUAACAGUGGUUUGGAGAACAGUGGAACGGAGUGUUUACCAUUCCAUGUUACUAAGGAUAACCGACAGAAAGGGAGCUAUGACAGAAAGGAGAAAUGUUUGAGUCGGAAAGAAAGGACUUUACCAAACCUAACAUCUUCUCCACGUCCAUCUGAUAAGCCAUUUUGGGAAAGACAGCAAAAACCAAAUUUCUUUCAAGAAGCAAAUGAAAUAGAAAAAAUUCCUGAUAAAUUCAUCCAAUACAAAUACUUGCUGGCUUGGUACCGGGAAUGGCGGAAGCAUUGCAGUGCCAAAGAUCUGCAGAGGAAGCACAGUCUUCGCAAAGGUCUGAAGGCUUUGAACCAGGCAGCUUUGAAGAGUCGGUUAUUGUCAGAAUCUCUCCAAGAACGCAUCAACCAGUUGUGGCUUAAGUCCUGCCUCCAAAAAUGGGAAGUGAAGACAAAGAUUCAUUUACGGGAUCGAUUGAUGUCAGCUUUGCAGCUGUGGAAGGAAAACGCAGCUUUGAAGAAAAGAAUACGGAUCCUUCAACAAAUAAACGGCAGGAAUCGUCUCAAAGUUUCCUUCACGAAAUGGCAAUUACAUUUUCGGAAAAAUCAACUUCAAUCCAAGGCCGAUCUUCAUUACAGAAAACAGCUGACCUUAAAGAUGUGGUGUUGUUGGUGUCACUACAACAGACGCAGGCAACACCUGAAGACUAUGGAACUGGCAGCCAGGAAGCAUCACAGACAUAAGUGUAUCCAAGUUACAUUCCACAGAUUCUACACCAUUUUUAAAAGUCAUUCAAUAUCAUUGUUGCACUACAGGCACCGCACAAUAAAAAAAGUGUUCCAUCUUUGGAAAAAAGCCGCAACCAUUUCAAUGGCAGAGAGCCACGAUCUUGUGCUGCAUGUGAUGCAGUCAUGUGAUCAGUUGAUACUGAGAAGAGCUGUUGCUCAUUGGUCGAAUCAGUUGUGGUUGGUGAGAGAAAGCCAUCGAGCUGACCAAUGGAUGCUCAGACGAUUCCUGAAGAAAUGGCAUCGAAAAUGGCACAACAAAACUGAGUGGCACCAACAUGUUGUGAAGACAAUUCAUUCACAGAAGAAAUCUAAGAUUCUUAAGCAAUGGCAGCGGAAUGUGAUUUGCCGGAAGAAUCAGUGCAUCUCUGCCACAGAACAUAUACAGAAACUGUAUUUAAUGAAACUGUUUACCAAAUGGAAGAAUUUCGGUCAAAGGCAGAAACAGACAAGAUUUUGUCUGAGAUUUCAACAAGAAAAAUGGUGGAAGCGGAUGAAAACAGUUUGCUUUGAAAACUGGAGAUGUUUCUUUAUCAAGAGGCUUCAAGCUAAACUGAUCCACCAAUGUUGGUCCCACAUGUGUGUACGGAAGGCCAUUAAACACUGGAAAGAACUUCACCACCAGAUGGCGUUGGAGAAAUUCGCAAAUCACUUUAAAUCUGUACAGAAGAAUCUACAACUGAGAGCAGUUUCAAGAGAUGGACAUCGACGCUUCAGAAGGUUUAUGAAGAGAAAGAGGAAGCGAAACAAGCGGAAAAGGUGCUGCAGGAGAGACUGGUCCAUUUUAUUUUCCACCAGUGGUACAGGAUGAGUUUGAACUCACAAACCUCAAAACCUCUGCUGUUACGUUACCACAACAAACUACUAGCCAGAGUUACCAAAUCUUGGCACCAACUGAUUAUUCGGAAGCACCAAUGCUCGGACAAUUCCCUGUUAGUCUACAGAGCUCAACUGUCGAAAUAUUUCACCAGG
rnacentral:misc_RNA from 1 species